rnacentral:rRNA from 1 species
AGCGAACGCUGGCGGCAGGCUUAACACAUGCAAGUCGAGCGGGCAUAGCAAUAUGUCAGCGGCAGACGGGUGAGUAACGCGUGGGAACGUACCUUUUGGUUCGGAACAACACAGGGAAACUUGUGCUAAUACCGGAUAAGCCCUUACGGGGAAAGAUUUAUCGCCGAAAGAUCGGCCCGCGUCUGAUUAGCUAGUUGGUGAGGUAAUGGCUCACCAAGGCGACGAUCAGUAGCUGGUCUGAGAGGAUGAUCAGCCACAUUGGGACUGAGACACGGCCCAAACGCCUACGGGAGGCAGCAGUGGAGAAUAUUGGACAAUGGGCGCAAGCCUGAUCCAGCCAUGCCGCGUGAGUGAUGAAGGCCCUAGGGUUGUAAAGCUCUUUUGUGCGGGAAGAUAAUGACGGUACCGCAAGAAUAAGCCCUGGCUAACUUCGUGCCAGCCGCCGCGGUAAAAC